UGAAUACGAGAUGCUACGGCGUCGAAGCAGUGUAUGUCAGACUUCCAAGAAAAGCUCGCAAUGUCAUAAAUAAAGAAUGCCUGUACCAUAACCGACACAGGUGGGUAGGUAGAGUAUACUAAGGGGCGCGAGAUAACUCUCUCUAAGGAACUCGGCAAAAUAACUCCGUAACUUCGGGAGAAGGAGUGCCUUCUUUAAGAAGGUUGCAAUAACAAGAUCCAAGCAACUGUUUAUCAAAAACACAGGUCUCCGCUAAGUCGUAAGACGAUGUAUGGGGGCUGACGCCUGCCCAGUGCCAGAAGGUUAAAGAAGUUGGUUAGCUUUUGCGAAGCUGAUGACUGAAGCCCUGGUGAACGGCGGCCGUAACUAUAACGGUCCUAAGGUAGCGAAAUUCCUUGUCGGGUAAGUUCCGACCCGCACGAAAGGCGUAAUGAUUUGGAUACUGUCUCGGAGAGGGACUCGGUGAAAUAGACUUGUCUGUGAAGAUGCGGACUACCUGCACCAGGACAGAAAGACCCUAUGAAGCUUUACUGUAACUUGAAAUUGAAAUUGGACCUUAUUUGCGCAGUAUAGGUGGAAGGCGUUGAAAGUAAUCUUGCGGGAUUAGUGGAGCCAUCAGUGAGAUACCACUCCUAUAAUGUUAGAUUUCUAACUUUGGAUCAUGAUCUGGUCAAAGAACAGUUUCAGGCGGGCAGUUUGACUGGGGCGGUCGCCUCCCAAAUGGUAACGGAGGCGUACAAAGGUUUCCUCUGAACGGGUAGAAAUCGUAUCUAGAGUGUAAAGGCAUAAGGAAGCUUGACUGUGAGACCUACAAGUCGAGCAGGGACGAAAGUCGGUCUUAGUGAUCUGACGGUGCUGAGUGGAAAGGCCGUCACUCAACGGAUAAAAGUUACUCUAGGAUAACAGGCUGAUCUCCCCCAAGAGUUCACAUCGACGGGGAGGUUUGGCACCUUGAUGUCGGCUCAUCGCAUCCUGGGGCGGUAGUACGUCCCAAGGGUUGGGCUGUUCGCCCAUGAAAGCGGUACGCGAGCUGGGUUCAGAACGUCGUGAGACAGUUCGGUCCAUAUCCGGUGUAGGCGUUAGAAUAUUGAGAGGAGCCUUCUUUAGUACGAGAGGACCGAGAAGGACAUACCUCUGGUGUACCAGUUAUCGUGCCAACGGUAAACGCUGGGUAGCUAUGUAUGGAGAGGAUAACCGCUGAAAGCAUCUAAGUGGGAAGCCCACCUCAAGAUGAG
rnacentral:rRNA from 1 species